rnacentral:rRNA from 1 species
GAUGAACGCUAGCUACAGGCUUAACACAUGCAAGUCGAGGGGUAACGAGAGGAAAGCUUGCUUUCCUUGUUGACGACCGGCGCACGGGUGUGUAACGCGUAUCCAACCUGCCCCCAACUAGGGAAUAACCUUGCGAAAGUAAGACUAAUACCCUAUAAUUUCCUCAGAUGUCAUCUGACGAGGAAUAAAGAUUUAUCGGUUGUGGAUGGGGAUGCGUCUGAUUAGCUUGUUGGCGGGGUAACGGCCCACCAAGGCAACGAUCAGUAGGGGUUCUGAGAAGAAGGUCCCCCACAUUGGAACUGAGACACGGUCGAAACUCCUACGGGAGGCAGCAGUGAGGAAUAUUGGUCAAUGGGCAGAAGCCUGAACCAGCCAAGUAGCGUGAAGGAUGACGGCCCUAUGGGUUGUAAACUGCUUUUAUACAGGAAUAAAGUUAGCCACGUGUGGUUAUUUGUAGGUACUGUAUGAAUAAGGACCGGCUAAUUCCGUGCCAGCAGCCGCCGUAA